GGGGAUGACAGGUUUCGACAGUGUGACUACUAAGUCGUUGUAUCUUCUGUUCGGGUUGGCAACGGUUCCCGUUACCCACAUGUUGCAAACCAUAGAUGCCAAAAACUUUGACAUCAAGGCAGGUGUCGCAGCCGCAUUCAACUCUGCGUUUGCAAAGUUGAGUCCUGUGGCAGUUGCCGCUUAGUCCGCACUUUACUGCGGACACGUCUCACUCACGAUCCUCGCUGAUGGGAUGAGGCGUUGAUAGCGAGGUGAGGAUCUGCAUGACGCGACAGAUUCUGACACUUUAGCGUCAACCCUCUCUGCCGUUCUUGGUCCGCUCCUUAUGGCAGAGCGACUCGAAGCGGACAUAACAGUACGAGGACACCUCUUACACAUUGGACCCGGGUUCAAUUCCCGGCAUCUCCACCA
rnacentral:tmRNA from 1 species